AUUGAACGCUGGCGGCAGGCCUAACACAUGCAAGUCGAACGAGUGGCGGACGGGUGAAUAAUGUAUGGGAAACUGCCUGAUAGAGGGGGAUAACUACUGGAAACGGUCGCUAAUACCGCAUACUAUCGGAUGCACCCAGAUGGGAUUAGCUAGUAGGUGGGGUACAGGCUCACCUAGGCGACGAUCCCUAGCUGGUCUGAGAGGAUGACCAGCCACACUGGAACUGAGACACGGUCCAGACUCCUACGGGAGGCAGCAGUGGGGAAUAUUGCACAAUGGGCGCAAGCCUGAUGCAGCCAUGCCGCGUGUAUGAAGAAGGCCUUCGGGUUGUAAAGUACUUUCAGCGGGGAGGCGUUACCCGCAGAAGAAGCACCGGCUAACUCCGUGCCAGCAGCCGCGGUAAUUC
rnacentral:rRNA from 1 species